GCUUACGGCCACACCGCCUGGUUCACGCACGAUCUCGUUUGAUCUCGGAAGAUAAGCUAGGGUGGGCCUGGUUAGUACUUGGAUGGGAGACCGCCUGGGAAUACCAGGUGCUGUAAGCU
rnacentral:rRNA from 14 species